UACAGAGACUGCAAGCGUUAUUCGGAUUCACUGGGCGUAAAGGGUGCGCAGGCGGCCAAGUGUGUGAGGCGUGAAAGCCCGGGGCUUAACCCCGGAAUUGCACCUCAAACUACAUGGCUAGAGCAUUGGAGAGGGUAGCGGAAUUCACGGUGUAGCAGUGAAAUGCGUAGAUAUCGUGAGGAACACCAGAGGCGAAGGCGGCAUCCUGGACCGACAUUGACGCUGAGGAGCGAAAGCUAGGGGAGCAAACGGG
rnacentral:rRNA from 1 species